AUCGCUGAGCUUUAGAUCAAAGUUUAUUUGGGUCUAAUCAAAGAUAUGGACUCGACAAACUACAACUAUUGUAUUGACUCGAGAGAAAUUUUGAUUUAAUCUAAUUUUUUUUAAUUUAUUUAAUCUUUGAUUCUAACCAUAGGUCUAAUCCAAUUAGGAGGACCUGAUCAAGCUAACCUAUAAACCCAUCACCCAUAUUUUAUGUGAAUGUCAUUAGAUCUUUAAUUCAUAAUUUUAGAUCUAAUUUAUUCAACUUAAUUAUUAAUUAAGUUUAAAGCUGUGGAUAGGAG
rnacentral:lncRNA from 1 species